GCCAGCAUUCAGUUGGGCACUUUAAAGAGACUGCCGGUGUUAAACCGGAGGAAGGUGGGGAUGACGUCAAGUCCUCAUUGGCCUUUAUGCUUAGGGCUACACACGUGCUACAAUGGGUGGUACAAAGAGAAGCCAACUCGCGAGAGCGCGCCAAUCUCAAAAAAGCCAUCCUCAGUUCGGAUUGGAGUCUGCAACUCGACUCCAUGAAGUUGGAAUCGCUAGUAAUCGCGGAUCAGCAUGCCGCGGUGAAUACGUUCCCGGGCCUU
rnacentral:rRNA from 1 species